CACGUAGGGCGCAAGCGUUGUUCGGAAUUACUGGGCGUAAAGCGAGUGUAGGCGGUUGCCCAAGUCAGGUGUGAAAGCCUUGAGCUCAACUCAAGAAAUGCACUUGGUACUGGGUGGCUAGAGGACCGGAGAGGAUAGUGGAAUUCCCAGUGUAGUGGUGAAAUACGUAGAGAUUGGGAAGAACACCAGUGGCGAAGGCGGCUAUCUGGACGGUUACUGACGCUAAGACUCGAAAGCGUUGGGAGCAAACAGG
rnacentral:rRNA from 1 species